rnacentral:lncRNA from 1 species
GCUGGAACUACUCAGGCACCCGCCACCAUGCCCGGCUAAUUGUUUGUAUUUUUAGUAGAGACAGGGUUUCACUGUGUUAUCCAGGAUGGUCUUGAUCUCUUGACCUCAUGAUCCACCCGCCUCGGCCUCCCAAAGUGCUGGGAUUACAGGCGUGAGCCACCGCACCCAGCCGGAAACUGAAUAGGUAUUACAAGGAAGGAACAGUCUCUGUUUUCCUGAACUUCCUCCCGUUCAAGUUAAACUGGAGAAGAUCAUGCCAGGAGAAAAAUAAGAAAAACAUGCUCUCUCUUCUCUAAUGAUUGGACAGACUCCUACUCCAAAACAGAAGAUCUCAACUCUGGAAGAGAACAGAUGCCUUCCACUGUGUGAGCGUAAAUUCAGAGCCUUCCAACUUGACAUUCUCAUCGACAAAUUAUUUAAACAUGACGGCUCUUUUAUAAAGAGUGUUAUCUUAAAAGGAAAGGAAUCAAAGGGCUGAACAUGUUGAAGGGAGGAGAAACAAGACCCCCAGGACUUGUCAAUGGCACACAUGAAAGACAGAAAACACCAGAAGCCAGUCUUCAGCCUGCUGGCCCAGCCAUGGCCACUGUAACGUACGGCUAAACCCCUGCCCCGAUCAGCUCUCAAGGCUCUGAGCCAACUGCCUAGACCGUCUAUUUGAGAUCCCUGAGAGUUUCAACACAGGGCAUGGCUGACCUCUCCACCGUGUCAUUUCCAGUAAUGCGGCCUCACUGAUAGCAGAAGUUCGGAGAGCUCUUGUCAGAGAGGCCAGCUGGCACCAUGUGAGUCUUACCCAGAGGGAAACCUGACAAUCUUCCAGCAUGCUCACCAGACUGGGGCACUGACUUUUGUCACUUGAUUCUCAACUCACAGUCUCAAGAUGCUGGUGCUAAUGUACAUUGCAGCUGACACUGGAGUUUAUUUUUAUAACUGCUCUUGCCUCAGAAAAAGCUCCAUCCCAGUACGACUUCCAGGACAGGGAUGGUCUGGAUGCUGCAGUUAGGACAAUGAUCAUCUCGUUCUCUUAGUGGUUAGGAAUCCUGUGGGCUUAUGGAAUAAGCUCGCUGAAACAGACAGUGACAUCCACGGUGACACUGACCGAAUUGUGCUCCAGUGGCCUAGAGAGUGCCUAUUAUUUAUCUCAUUUCUGUUCUGCAUAAUAACACCAACCAAACCGCUAAUGAAUGAAUAUUAUUACAUGCUUUGGUAGGAACGCAAAGGCAAAUUGGGCUCACUGUAGAGAAUAUCUUGCUCCUCAUUUUGUAUUAAAAUGCCUAGACGCCCCUCAAGAGACCAUGUCAAGGAUGAAAUUUAUCCACUGCCUGCAUUUGCUAAUUUGAAAGAGUUCUGAUUUCAUCUGCCGGGCUUAAUAUAGAAAUUCUUUUAACCUGAACAGAUACACAGAAAUGUGGAAUUUAUUCAAUGCCAUUUUCUUGAUUUAUGUCAGGAAAUAUAUAUGGCUAUGCUGUCAUCUUUUUAUAUAUAGACAUCAAUAUAUAUAAAUAUAUAGAGUCAAGUCAGAAAUUCUGAAACCACAUUGCACUUAGCCCUUACAGCAUAAUGCUUUCCAUAUUCUUCACAGUUUGUUUCCCUGAUCCUUUAGAGAGAGCUACUGUGUUUAAAGUGUAAACCAUUUUUACAGAAAAAAUGUAUUACAAUUCUAUAUGAUAAUUCUCAAAGUUCAGGAAAAUAAUCUGAAAUAAACAUUCUAAAUUGAGGAAUGAAUAAUAAAGACUCAUCAAUUGGGCUGGGAGCAGUGGCUCACGCCUGUAAUCUCAGUACUUUGGGAGACCGAGGCAGGCGGAUCACCUGAGGUCAGCCUGGCCAACCUGGUGAAACCCCGUCUCUACCAAAAAAAUACAAAAACUAGCUGGGCAUGGUGGCACAUGCCUGUAAUCCCAGCUACUCUGAAGGCUGAGGCAGGAGAAUUGCUUGAACCUGGGAGGCAAAGGUUCCAGUGAGCUGAGAUCGCCCUAUUGCACUCCAGCCUAGCUGUCUCAAAAAAAA